GCUAGAACGAACGCUGGCGGCAUGGAUUAGGCAUGCAAGUCGAACGAAGCAGCAAUGCUUAGUGGCGCAAGGGUGAGGAACACGUGAGUGACCUGCCCGCAAGUUUGGAACAGCUCCUGGAAACGGGAAUUAAUACCGGAUGUGAUCAUAGAGCUGCAUGGUUUUAUGAUUAAAGCAGUAAUGCGCUUGCGGAUGGGCUCGCGUCCCAUUAGCUAGUUGGUGAGGUAACGGCCCACCAAGGCCAUGAUGGGCAGCUGGUCUGAGAGGACGACCAGCCACACUGGGACUGAGAACUGCCCAGACUCCUACGGGAGGCUGCAGUCGAGAAUUUUGGGCAAUGGACGAAAGUCUGAACCCCCAGCAAUGCCGCGUGCGGGAUGAAGGUCUUCGGAUUGUAAACCGCUGUUUGGAGGGACGAAAAUUGACGGUACUUCCAGAGAAAGCCACGGCUAACUACGUGCCAGCCGCUGC
rnacentral:rRNA from 1 species